GUGUGUUUGGUCACUCACACUCAUACUCACAGUGUGGUAGUUUGAUGAUGUGUGUUUGGUCACUCACACUCAUACUCAAUGUAGGUUUUAGGGCUAGAAGAUGCAACGUGAUUGGCUGAAUGUUGGUUUUAGAGCUAGAAGAGGCAACGUGAUUGGCUGAAUGUUGGUUUUAGGGCUAGAAAAGCCAACGUGAUUGGCUGAAUGUUGGUUUUAGGGCUAGAAGAGGCAACGUGAUUGGCUGAAUGUUGGUUUUAGGGCUAGAAGAGGCAAUGUGAUUGGCUGAAUGUUGGUUUUAGGGCUAGUAAACAGUUCUGAUCUGAAAAACUGUCAAAUGGCCUGAUCAGCAGUGAAACCUAACAUAUGGUUCCAAGUGGAAUGGUGUUAUUCGAUGAAUAGUGAGGCAUGAAAGGUUUAAUAGCCCCUCUUAAUGGCAAAAGGUUUUCAGGGAUUUUUAGCUUUGAUCAGAAGACCUACAGAGUGGAACGAUAAUUGGGAAUCAGCGAGAGGCCUCAGGAGAAAAGACAAACUCACUGAUGAAUUAGAUCUCUCUCUCUCUCUAUUUAUCUAUCUAUCUCUCUGAAGUUCUGAAUGACAGAGUCUUUUUGCUAAGCCUGAGAGUUUGGAUCUCAGUUUAAAUGAAGGAGAUCGUGACAUUGCUGCUGAGUGUUUGUUCAUUUGGGGAAUGGGAGGAAGCGAGAGAUAGGAAAAAGUGUCAUAACAGGUUAAUAACAGGGUUAGUUCAGUAAUUGUCUGUAAACAUGGUCUCAUGGUGAGAAACAUGGCGAUUGUCUCAUCUCCAUACUUACACAGGCUUUCUGUAUGACAACUACAACAAUAACAGAUAUAUUUAUAUGCAUGACUAGUCUAAGGCUUUAUUUCUGGGCAGGUCACAUGGUCAAGAACAACUCCUGGCCUUAUGAGAUUGAGUUAAACUGACGACUUAAAAUGAAUUGAACAAUAGUACCUACUCUAAAUGUAGGCUUAUUCUGGAUGGCAGGUUGAGGUGAUGACGAGGUGGUUAAGGAGAGAUAUGAUUGGACGGCAGUACAGGUGUCGACUGGUGAUUGGCAAGAAGGAAUCGGAGGAGCUGAAGAGAGGGCAGCUUUUCUUUCCAACACUUUGAAGGAGAGAAAAACACAGCAAUAAUAAAGGAAUGAAUGAAUAAAAGACGAGUUGAACAACUGCUGUAUUCACCUGUUGUUUCUCUUGAAGGACUCUAGUUCCUCAUUCAAAAUAGGGUUUGUUUGGUCUCUUAGAUUCUCAACUACACAUAUAUAGCGUUCCAAAUAGCCCCUUAUAACCUCUAUAGUGCACUUGGGGGUAGUGGGGUGCCAUUUGGGAUGCGAUCAUUAAUGAAGUUUAUAUAUACAGCAUAAAGAGAGUCAUGAAGACAGGACUUUCAGAAGGGAACUGAGGGACAAGCAGAGACACAGAAAGAUGUAUGACUUUAAUUUCACAUAAAUGACAUACAUUAAAAUAUGGGUAAUGUGGCCUCCCGAGUGGCGCAGCGGUAUAAGGCACUGCAUCGCGGUAUAAGGCACUGCAUCGCAGUAUAAGGCACUGAAUCGCGGUAUAAGGCACUGCAUCGCGGUAUAAGGCACUGCAACGCGGUAUAAGGCACUGCAUCGCGGUAUAAGGCACUGCAUCGCGGUAUAAGGCACUGCAUCGCGGUAUAAGGCACUGCAUCGCGGUAUAAGGCACUGAAUCGCGGUAUAAGGCACUGCAUCGCGGUAUAAGGCACUGCAACGCGGUAUAAGGCACUGCAUCGCGGUAUAAGGCACUGCAUCGCGGUAUAAGGCACUGCAUCGCGGUAUAAGGCACCGCAUCGCGGUAUAAGGCACUGCAUCGCGGUAUAAGGCACUGCAUCGCGGUAUAAGGCACUGCAUCGCGGUAUAAGGCACUGCAUCGCAGUGCUUGAGACGUCACUACAGACCCGGGUUCAAUCCUGGGCUGUGUUGCAAUGGGCCAUGAGGCGGUGCACAAUUGGCCCAGUCUCGUCUGGGUUAGGGGGAGAGUUUGGCCGGCAGGGAUGUCUUUGUCCUGCUGACACAGUCGCCAGUUGUUUUCUCUGACACAUUGGUGCGGCUGGCUUUCGGGUUAAGCGAGCAGUGUGUAAAGAAGUAGUGAGGCUUGGUUGGGUUGUGUUUCGGAGGACACAUGGCUCUUGACCUUUGCCUCUCCCGAGUCCGUACUGGAGUUGCAGCGAUGGUGUAACGCUCGUCCUCUUCUUCUGACGAGGAGUCGCAAGGAUCGGACCAAUGCGCAGCGUGGUAAGUGUUCAUUAUAUUUAUUUAUAACUCAGAACACUAAAACAAAAAUAACAACGAGAAUGAUACGAAACGAAACAGUCCUGUCUGGUGACAUACACAAAGACAGAAAAUAACUACCCACAAAUCAAGUGGAAAAAACAGGCUCCCUAAAUAUGGUUCUAAAUCAGAACAACGAUUGACAGCUGCCUCUGAUUGAGAACCAUACCAGACCAAACACACAGAAAACCAAAACUAGAACAACACAUAGGUUGCCCACCCCAACUCACGCCCUGACCAACCUAAACAAGAAACAUAACAAAGGAACUAAGGUCAGAACGUGACAGAUGGGACAAAACUGUAACUACCAAUUGGCUAUCACAAAAUCUGGGAGAACAAGUACAAAACAAUAUGUAUAGAGAGAGGAACAGUCAUUAAGCUGUUGUAUUUUCAAACAGGAAAAUAACAUUGACACACACACACACACACACACACACACACA